UGCCCGUUGCCACAAACCCGUAGAUCCGAACUUGUGGUGAUAUUCCACACAAGCUUGUAUCUAUAGGUAUGUGUCUUCAUGGCAAG
rnacentral:pre_miRNA from 1 species